UCCUGCACACUUUGCAGGUGAGGCUACUUUCACAUCUGCUUUUUCCUUUCCAGUUUUGAGAACCGGCAGAGGAUCUCAAAACCGGAGGAAAACGCUUCAGUUUUGUCCCCAUUCAUUUUUAAUGAAGACAAAACUGAACAAA